UUACGCAGAUAAAACUUAUAAAUGCAACUCAAAAAUUUCUAUUCGAAGCGUUUUAUAAAAAAAACUAAAAUGUUACUUCUGAUGAACGCUUUGGAAGAAACUUAUUAAGGAUGUUUGCCUACAUAAACUUUUUAUGAAUCUUACAGUACGUAAUACCUACCAGAUCGAUAAGUCCCAGCAGCCUGAUGCCAAGGGAAAGGUCAACCGGAUGCGUAUCGUUUAUUUGGGGCACAACCCGCUUUUCGUAGCUGCCUAGCAACGAGGUCAGUAAGGCUUCAUGCGUAUCAGCCACUGUGGUGCGACCUGAAUAGAAGAUACAAUAAACGGUUGUGACUGAAGGCCUUGUUUUGAGGGUGUCUUGCAGACCAGUGGUUGUCGGCCUGGGGAUUUUCAAGGAAAACUGUAGACUGCCCCCUAAUGUCCAAUGACACUCUUAUACAAUAAAAGCAGAAUGAUCUCGAAUGAUCUGCUAUUUGACUGUCACACGGCAAUAAAUGUCGACUUUUA